rnacentral:lncRNA from 1 species
GGCCCUGCAGGUGGCCCAUACUUCUUGCAACUACAGGCAACUGAAGGCAGCCAGUCAAAAUGUAGCAUCCUCCACAAGAAGAGGCUCAGGCUAUGCAACAAAAAGCUAUCACUUCAAGGAACCAACGAGUGAAAACAGGUUGACAAUUCAUUUUAUCACAUUCAAAGACGGAGAAACAGUAAAGCUCGGAGGAACCUAUUGAGUUCUGCCACCGCACGGAAGGUAUCAUCCCAUCCUCAAGCUUGGGCACGCUGACCACCUAGGAAAGCAGCAAGCUGGGCAGACUCCAACCUCAGGCAGAGGCAGGAAUGACAGCCAUGAUGGGAACAGCCCACAGAAGGGAACACAGAUGGCAUUUUGAAGAAAAUAGGGACUGAGAGCACAACGUGGUGAAAGAGACGGCGAUGGAGAAGUAAAUCAGAAAACUCAGAACAAUUUCAACAGAAUGCCAGGAGGCAGAGCAUUACACAUUCUUAAGAAUGACGCGCAAAGACCAAUUAUUGAUAAGAAGAGUCACUGCCAACUACAUCGGUAAGAAGUCAGGAAUGAGAGGAAGAGUAUCAUUCACGCAUCAGUUACACAAAUCAGAGGUGUUUCCACAAACACAACUUCUAUGCUUAGACACUAAGCGUUCUUCACACAUGGGGAAAACUGACUAAAAAUAAUGGCUGGGGAAUGGGCUGUUCAACUUAAUAGUAAACUGGCAGUGAUUGGAUAAGAAUGUGUAAUAUUAUAGCUAAAGUUUAAUGACAAAAAAAGCCCAAAUCCACACAUUUCCCAAUUGCAGAAUGACAUUAUCACAUCCAAACAGUCUUCUUGAAAGGGAAUGCCUUCACUCUACAUGCCACUUCUCAAGAUGUACCUUUUAUUUGUAAGGAUCCACACUCUAAAGUAUCAUCUUGUUAUAUAAACUCAUAUUUCUACACAGAUUGAUUUCUGCCUUCACAAAGAUUGCUCAGAUUUUCACUAGUGACUGACAGUUUCUCAAGUCAGAUCCAUUUCCAAUCUGAAAACAAACAUUAAUUUAAAACAAAACGGCAGUCUCCAUAUGCAGUAUCCUUUGCCUUAGUAUUACACAGAGGGCACAGAGUGCUACAUCCAUGAAGAUGGGAGUGAGAAAAGGCGCCAAUCCCACUUCUCUCCGGAGAAAGCAAAAAUGUUUCAAAGGGACUUGCACUUUGAAAUAGCUCUACAAUUCGUGAAGAUCCAUUUUCAAACUCACAGGGGAAAAGUUUAAAAAGGCAAGGCUUCACUGAGGCUUCUAGGUGGUGGCAUUACCUGGUACCUGGACCCAAAGAAUCUCCAAGGAAAACUAUAAUGGUUAUGAAAAACCUUGACUUUAUGCUCUUUAUGGACACUUUUCACCUGCCUAAGUGCAGAGAUCUGAUGUUUUGCACAGAGAAUCUAUGGGAAGUGCCAGGAGCUCAGGCUGUAGGGCAGCACUCUGUGGCAUGAAGGUUCCUCACACUCAGUAACAGACUGUUACUGGCCCAAAUAGGGACCACCUGACACUAUGCUCACAUAGUUGAUUUUCUGAGUUCAGAGAACUCUCUUGAAAUGGGAAAACUAGGUGACAACUGUCCUCUGACUGUGAGAACUGUCCUCUGACCAUGAGCACAUGGAGCAAGCACCAUGUUUACUGAUUCUUAACAAAGUUUCUCUUCUUUUGUUGCUAUCUCAGCAGGGGUUCUCCUGGAUUAACCAGAGACCGCUAGGUUGUAGAGUUUAUCCUUAACAACACUUUCAAAAAUUAAUAGCAGGUAAUAGAGGAAAAUAGAAUAUUUUGUCUCAGUAUAAUUUUUUAAAAUGUUGAGUCUGUCACACAUAACAAUAAAGACACAAUUAGUGUGACUGAUUAUUAAUUUUCUCUAAGUACUGAAGGAGAUGAAUUUUUUCCAUGUUACAGAAACCUAUUACACAGCAUAAAAUAGGGAAUACGAUCUAGGAGGCAUCCUAAAAUCGAUCCCAAUUUCUUUCUAAUACGUUGGUGCACAUCUUGAUACUCGGUGUCAUAGUGACAUCAAUGGGGGAGAGGAGGGCACACAGAGUAGCUGGAAAGAUAAGGAAAGAACUAAAAGGAAAAAGGCAUGAAAUCCAACUGAAUUGGUACUAAAUUCAACACGAAAAAGUAGAGAGUAAGCACCAUUAGAGCAAACAUUUUAUUUUACAGACAAAUGCUGUUUAUAGUUGGAUACUUCAUUACACAAUGCCAGUAUUUUAACAUCUAAUAUCUUUUAUUUAAAAAUAUUAAUAGAAGUGUAAAAUGCCUGAGCCAGAAGGGGAGCCCUUUCUCUAAAUUGAGUAAUGAUUAUCUCUUCCCAAGUUUAAAGUUUUUAAAUCUUCAUAAUUUCAGAGAAAUGCAGAAACUAAAGAGGAUUCUGUAGAAGGGUAACAGACAACUAAAGAGAUGGAAAGUGGGUACUUGAGUUAAGCACUAAGUGGCCUUGAAAAGACAAGACUGAGAGGCACCUCAACAACUGUGUUCUAGAUUGCUUAGAGCUCUUCCCAAAGGAAUCAUGGCAAACCAUGCUCCAUUUUCCUCACAGUGAGAGAGAGACGCACGGAAGAUAGUUAUAAACAGAUAAUUUAUAAAUGGAAAUAUUUCUCGAAUGUAGAAUGAGUGAGAAAAUUGCCUUUAAUCUGGCCAAAAUCUAUUUCUUUAAAAUUUCAGAUUAAUAAAAAUAGUGUUAAAUUAAAUUUAGCCUAAAGCUGCCUCCUUACAUAUUUUAAGUUUACCCUAAAAGUUUCUCUUCAAAUAAUGAACUGUAACAUAACUGGAUAUGUAAACAGGCUGUAAAUUACUCCUGUAGUGUAACUGAGCCUCAGCCAAUCACAGUGGCUGAGUUUCAGCCAAUCACAGGUAGCCAGCUAUUCAAACCGUGUUCAAAUAAGGCAAAUGCCUCACUGUAACCAAUCUGGCUGUUCUGCACCUCACUUCUGUUUUCUGUACAUCACUUUCCCUUUUUCUUUCCAUAAAUGUUAUCUGACCAUGUGGCAGCCCUGGAGUCACUCUGAACCCAUUCUGGUUCUGGAGGCUUCCUGAUUUGCCAACUGAUCUUUGCUCAAUUAAACUCUACUAAAUUUAGUCUAUCUAAAAUCUUUCUUUUAACAAUUGUAACUGGCUUUCUUAUACCUGUCAAAUUUCAACUACAAAUAUUCAUUCAAUAACCCUCCCUGCUCAAUAAAUAAUUUAAAAUUAAAAAUGAUCACACAUGUGGAGCAACAGGCACUCUAUACACUGCUGGUGAGAGUGUAAAUUGGUACCACCUUUGGAAAUCUGUUUGGUAUUAUACACAGAAGCUGAAGAGGUACAUACUCUUCAACUUAGCAAUCAUAUUCCUGGUAUAUACCCAACAGAAAUAUGUAAUUAUAUUUACCAAAAGACAUGUACCAGAAUGUUCACAGCAACACUAUUUGUAAUAACCAAACCCUCAAAAAGUUUAAAUGUCAAUGAACAAUAGAAUAAAAUAUAGCGGUAUGUUUUUAUGAUAGAAUCCUAUUCAGCAAUGAGAAUGACAAACUAUAGCUACAUGCAACAAUAUGGAUAAAUAAAUCUCACAAACAAUAGCGAGAGGGAAAAAAAUCAAGCACUAAUAGUACAUAUUCUAGGAUUCUAUUUAUAUAAAGUUAUUAAAUAGGCAAAUCUAAACUGUGGUGCUAAAGAUCAAGAUAACGGUUAUCCUCUGUCAAUAAUUACCAUGUUAUCUUUAUCUUCUAGUACACAUUGAGCUUCUCUAGACACAAAACUAUUUAAAAAAUUUUUUUAAAGUUGUAUUUUAAGUUCUGGGGUACAUGUGCAGAAUGUGCAGUUUUGUUAUGUAGGUACACGCAUGCCAUGGUGGUUUGCUGCACCCAUCAACCCGUCGCCUACAUUAGGUAUUUCUCCCAAUGCUAUCCCUCCCCCAGUCCCCUUCCCGACAGGCCCCCCGUGUGUAAUGUUCCCCUCCCUGUGUCCAUGUGUUCUCACUGUUCAACUCCCAUUUAUGAGUGAGAGCAUGCGGUUUUGGUUUUCUGUUCUUGUGUUAGCUUGCUAACAAUGAUGGUUUCCAGCUUCAUCCACGUCCCUGCAAAGGAUAUGAACUCAUCCUUUUUUAUGGCUGCAUAGUAUUCCAUGGUGUAUAUGUGCCACAUUUUCUUUAUCCAGUCUAUCAUGGAUGGACAUUUGGGUUGGUUCCAAGUCUUUGCUAUUGUGAAUAGUGCUGCAAUAAACAUACGUGUGCAUGUGUCUUUAUAGUAGAAUUAUUUAUAACCGUUUGGGUAUAUACCCAGUAAUGGGAUUGCUGGGUCAAAUGGUAUUUCUAGUUCUAGAUCCUUAAGGAAUUGCCACACUGUCUUCCACAAUGGUUGGACUAAUUAACACUCCCACCAACAGUGUAAAAGCGUUCCUAUUUCUCCACAUCCUCUCCGGACUUUUUAAUGAGCGUCAUUCUAACUGGCAAGAGAUGGCAUCUCAUUGUGGUUUUGAUUUGCAUUUCUCUAAUGACCAGUGAUGAUGAGCUUUUUUUCAUGUUUGUUGGCAGCAUAAAUGUCUUCUUUUGAGAAAUGUCUGUUCAUGUCCUUUGCCCACUUUUUGAUGGGGUUGAUACACAACUUCUAAAGUGCAUGUUUACUUGAAAAAUAUAUUCUCUUACAUAGCCCUGAAUGCCAAGCAACUCUAUUAUAUUACAUGGCUUUACUGUAUAAUUUUUGGUCAUUCUUCAUUUAAAAAAUUUCUUAUGUGAUGGAAAAAUGUCAAGUUACAUAAUUAUAUAUUUAUAUUUCUUUUUGUACAAUAGCCAAAC